rnacentral:rRNA from 1 species
GAUGAACGCUGGCGGCACGCUUAACACAUGCAAGUCGAACGAGGCGAGGAGUGCUUGCACACCGAACCUAGUGGCGGACGGGUGCGUAACGCGUGGGUAACCUGCCCUAAACAGGGGGAUAACGUAUAGAAAUGUACGCUAAUACCGCAUAAGCUCACGGAACCGCAUGGUUUUGAGGGAAAAGGAUUUCCGGUUUAGGAUGGGCCCGCGUCUGAUUAGCUAGUUGGAGAGGUAACGGCUCACCAAGGCGACGAUCAGUAGCCGGUCUGAGAGGAUGGACGGCCACAUUGGGACUGAGACACGGCCCAAACUCC